AUAAACCCCAAUCACAUCCAUUAUCAGCAGGGCUAUCUUUCCCAACAUCUCAUUUAUUCCUGCUGGGACAAGGUCAGUGUCAGCACUGGCAGCUGGAAAUCAGAGUUUUCCCUGGAAUUACUUUCCACCAGCAAGAGCUCAGGCUCUUCCCAUCAUUUCCAGUUAAGCAGGGCUGUGCAGACCCCUCAAAGCAAGAACAGUUUGUGUGUCCCAGAAGGAAAGAGAUGAAGCAGGGAGGAGAAGCUCUUGAAAAGCUUUUAAGGCAAAAGCAAAAGAGGUUUGAUUGUUGGACUUCCAAGAGCUGUUCCAAGAGGUUCUGGAAGCUCCUGUGCUCCUGGCAGAGCUGCAAGAGAACCCUGCAAGCACCUUCUGGUGAGGAACCACAAAAAACCUCUCCCCUGAAAAAAAUAUUGUAGUUAAGUAAUGAACACCAGGACUUUUUCCACUGUACAAGGUUAUUAAUGGCAUUUCUGAUAGAGUUUAUCAAAAAUGAUUUGUCCCACAGUAUCCAAGCACCAGCAUGACUCUGGAUUCCAAACUGGCAAUGAAUCCCUGGUUGGUAGCCAGGGCAUCAGCUGCAGACUCUGAGCACAAAGCAGAGGCUCAGGGGAUUCCUGCACUGCCUGCUCAGCAAAAAGCUUCCACCAAAUCCUGCACAAACACAGCACAACAGCAAAUCCAGAGGCACUGAGGUUUCAGGAGAGGAUCAGGAAAAUAAAACCCUUACAUUAUUUGCUUUGGUGACUCUAAGCAGUGGCUGACCACUUCCAGAAAUGGUCAUUUCCCAAAUAAUGACCAACCAGCUAAAAAAAGGCUUUAAAACUUCCAUCAGUGCUGUCAUUUAUAUUUAAAGUUCAGAUUUCUCAAGGUUGUUGAUAAAACUGGAGGAACUGGAGUGAAUUUUCAGUCCUGUUCAGCCAGAGAAGAAAACUGAGGCAGAAUCAUUUCAGUGCAGCCACUUCUCCACAGAUCUAUACUUAUAUACAGUUUAUUUCACUAGAGAUUUUAAUUUUAUACAUAGUAUAAAGGGGUAUCCUGGUAUCACACAUAGAGUUAUUUUACUGUACUGUUUAAGAACCAAUUUUUUUACAUAAUACAGUAUUAAGUACCAUAUUAAUUAAAACAAAUGAUUUUUUAAAAAAACCUACAUAUAAAUGGAUGUUUAUCAUAUGCACAGUGCAAGAACGGCUUGAUAUCAUUGUAAUCACAAAUUGUGAAUCUAAAAUACAACACUGUGAUUGAAAACUAAUUGAUAAUUAUGAUGCCCUGUGUUGUAGACAUUGAUUAAUCUUUGUUUGAAUUACCAAGCAAGGUUAAAAUUCCAGACAAACAGCAGCAGCUUCUCAUUAUGGUUUCAAGGUUUCUUCCACAGUAACCCAAGUCUUACAAAACACUGGUUUAUCCCUACUUGUGGUCUAAGGAAACAGAAGAAUGGCACAGAUUCCAUCUGGGAUUAUCUGUAACUAAUGCUAAAUAAAUUCUUUAUUACUUCCACACAGGAAUCCUUUAAGGAUGAGUGAAGAGACAAAGAUGGAGAAGUUUCUGGGCAGAAUUCUCCAGAUUUAGUAAGAGAGUACAGGAUUUCUCCUCUGCAAAUAGGAAGACAAUACUGGAAUAGAAAUCAGCUGUAAUAUUUACAGGAAACAAGUGUGGAAAAGAAAGCAAUCCCAAUGUAAACACUGAGGCAGAGAGGGCUUCUUCAUUUUCCCUUUGCAGAGUGGGGCACUGGUGCAGGUCAGCUCCUAAGGAACAGCUCUUUUCCUGGGAAGAGCCCCUUCCCCAGCACAGAAUGCACGUGGUACUCGUUGAGAAUCCCUAACAGGUUUUCUCCCCUCCCUCCCCCCAAAGUUUCAAGUUCAAUAAAUAGUAGAAAAAUAAUCCUUUACUUAAAAAUCUCGAGAUGCAUUGUCCCAGGUCCUGCACAGCAACGUGGGCACAGGGAUCUCUCCACCUGCAGAGAAGCCAGCAGCCUUCCCUGCUCUGUCUGCCACUUCUGGGCUCUCCAGCUGCAGAUUCCUGCUCUUCCAGUUAAGGAAACCAAAUCAUCUCUGGCUCUUUAAGCUCUCUCUCUGCUCUUGGCUCAGCACAACAAACUCCAGCUGCUGGAUAAACUCCCAUCCCUGUUCCUGGAGGUCUAACGUGCUCCAUCUGUCUCCAUGUUUUGGCAGGUCCAUUCAUCAAGCACGUUUCCAGGCCAGAGCCAACCUUGUAUUUGUAAAAAUGCAAAGCUCUGAUGCCUCAGUUUGGUGGGGAAGCCUGUGAGGCUGUCCCUGGGGAGCAGCACAGUCCCCAUGGCGCUGGAGUCGCAUCUGUGGUGUCCUCAGUGCACGGUGCCACAGCCUGCAGGAGGUGGCUGUGCUGUCCCCAGUGCCACAGCCUGCAGGAGGUGGCUGUGGUGUCCCCAGUGCCACAGCCUGCAGGAGGUGGCUGUGGUGUCCCCAGCACUUGGCAUCCACAGUGUGCUUGGUGACAGUGGCCUGCAGGAGGUGGCUGUGGCAGCCUGCAGGAGGUGGCUGUGGUGUCCCCAGUGCCACAGCCUGCAGGAGGUGGCUGUGGUGUCCCCAGCACUUGGCAUCCACAGUGUGCAUGGUGACAGUGGCCUGCAGGAGGUGGCUGUGGUGUCCCCAGUGCCACAGGCUGCAGGAGGUGGCUGUGGCAGCCUGCAGGAGGUGGCUGUGG